rnacentral:snRNA from 1 species
CAUUUUAGAAGAGAGGGGAGAUACCAUGAUCACGAAGGUGGUUUUCCCAGGGUGAGGCUUAUCCAUUGCACUCCGGAUGUGCUGACCCCUGCGAUUUCCCCAAAUGUGGGAAACUCGACUGCAUAAUUUGUGGUAGUGGGGGACUGCGUUCGCGCUUUCCCCUG